rnacentral:rRNA from 1 species
AAAUUGAAGAGUUUGAUCAUGGCUCAGAUUGAACGCUGGCGGCAGGCCUAACACAUGCAAGUCGAACGGUAACAGGAAGCAGCUUGCUGUUUCGCUGACGAGUGGCGGACGGGUGAGUAAUGUCUGGGAAACUGCCUGAUGGAGGGGGAUAACUACUGGAAACGGUAGCUAAUACCGCAUAACGUCGCAAGACCAAAGAGGGGGACCUUCGGGCCUCUUGCCAUCGGAUGUGCCCGGAUGGGAUUAGCUAGUAGGUGGGGUAACGGCUCACCUAGGCGACGAUCCCUAGCUGGUCUGAGAGGAUGACCAGCCACACUGGAACUGAGACACGGUCCAGACUCCUACGGGAGGCAGCAGUGGGGAAUAUUGCACAAUGGGCGCAAGCCUGAUGCAGCCAUGCCGCGUGUAUGAAGAAGGCCUUCGGGUUGUAAAGUACUUUCAGCGGGGAGGAAGGGAGUAAAGUUAAUACCUUUGCUCAUUGACGUUACCCGCAGAAGAAGCACCGGCUAACUCCGUGCCAGCAGCCGCGGUAAUACGGAGGGUGCAAGCGUUAAUCGGAAUUACUGGGCGUAAAGCGCACGCAGGCGGUUUGUUAAGUCAGAUGUGAAAUCCCCGGGCUCAACCUGGGAACUGCAUCUGAUACUGGCAAGCUUGAGUCUCGUAGAGGGGGUAGAAUUCCAGUGUGUAGCGGUGAAAUGCGUAGAGAUCUGGAGGAAUACCGGUGGCGAAGGCGGCCCCUGGACGAAGACUGACGCUCAGGUGCGAAAGCGUGGGGAGCAAACAGGAUUAGAUACCCUGGUAGUCCACGCCGUAAACGAUGUCGACUUGGAGGUUGUGCCCUUGAGGUGUGGCUUCCGGAGCUAACGCGUUAAGUCGACCGCCUGGGAGUACGGCCGCAAGGUUAAAACUCAAAUGAAUUGACGGGGGCCCGCACAAGCGGUGGAGCAUGUGGUUUAAUUCGAUGCAACGCGAAGAACCUUACCUGGUCUUGACAUCCACGGAAGUUUUCAGAGAUGAGAAUGUGCCUUCGGGAACCGUGAGACAGGUGCUGCAUGGCUGUCGUCAGCUCGUGUUGUGAAAUGUUGGGUUAAGUCCCGCAACGAGCGCAACCCUUAUCCUUUGUUGCCAGCGGUCCGGCCGGGAACUCAAAGGAGACUGCCAGUGAUAAACUGGAGGAAGGUGGGGAUGACGUCAAGUCAUCAUGGCCCUUACGACCAGGGCUACACACGUGCUACAAUGGCGCAUACAAAGAGAAGCGACCUCGCGAGAGCAAGCGGACCUCAUAAAGUGCGUCGUAGUCCGGAUUGAGUCUGCAACUCGACUCCAUGAAGUCGGAAUCGCUAGUAAUCGUGGAUCAGAAUGCCACGGUGAAUACGUUCCCGGGCCUUGUACACACCGCCCGUCACACCAUGGGAGUGGGUUGCAAAAGAAGUAGGUAGCUUAACCUUCGGGAGGGCGCUUACCACUUUGUGAUUCAUGACUGGGGUGAAGUCGUAACAAGGUAACCGUAGGGGAACCUGCGGUUGGAUCACCUCCUUA